CAACAACAACAAAAAACCAAAGUGGGCCUCUGUCUGCCAGACGGGAAAAAGGAGAGGCAAGCCCAUGGCAAGGCUGCUCAGAGGGCUGGUAAACAGGCAGGAGGGGACCAAACCUCCUGGAAAUCUUGGUUCCAAAGCGUCAACAGGGUCAAAUGCUGCAAAGUGAAACAGCACAGAUUAUGAAAAGCCACCAGAUUUGGCCAGAGUGGGACUGUUGGUGAUCCAAAGCCUGGCUGAACUGGGAUGAGGAAGGAGUGAGAAAGGGAGGCCAAGGGCAGCGGAGGGGAGAAGAGGCAGAGCCGGGAUGUGGAGGCCUGAGAUCUUUCUCUUACCGCGGGAGAGGCUACACCAUUUGUGGGCUGCCGGAAAGGGGGAGGCUUGGAGAAAGGAAGGCUUGGAGCUCUAGAGGUGCGAAAGGGGAAAGAUGCACAAAAGCGGGAGGAAGCCUUACGGCGGCGGGACACAGAGCCCAAGAGGAAGGCCGGCCCAGCCCGCUUUUCUUCCUCUGAGAGAUGGGGCAGGGCUGAUGGCGAAUUCAGAUAAAUAGGCGUAAAGGGCCAGUACAGUCGCCGGCUGGCUCUGGGGCAUGGCGGGCAUUACUACGCCUUGGCGGCCUUUUCCCGGCGCGGCCCAGCGCACGAGAUCGCCGUUUCCGAGGGUCCACGCGGGCAGGGCGGAGCGCGCGGCCCACGGCCUGGCCGCUGCUGAUUGGCGCGCGGGAGCCACCUGACCGGCCCGGCCAAUCAGAGGCGCCCUCCCAGGAACGCGGCCCCACGUGUGGCCCGGAGCGGAAGCCCGAGCUGCGGCGGGGCGGCUCCGGGUGCCGGCCGCGUGCGUCCGGCGGCUCUCUGCUCCUGCGGAACUCAGAGGCUGAGGCCGGGCCUCUCCCAGCCCCGCCCGGUUCCUGCCCACCCACCCGCCUGCGGCGACCCCGAGUCCUUUUGCCAAACCUCCUCUCUCGCCGGCUUCUGCGGCUCAGCCGGGGUGUGUUCACCCUGUCCCUCUGUCUUGACUGGGCCGAAGUGGUGAUUUAGAGGAAGACAGAACCAAGAUUCCAGUCAUCGCGUGGCCUACGGCAGGUGUUUAACAUUGUAAAGUGGGACUACUAAUAUCUACUGUGGUGUUUUUGUGAGGAUUGUAAAGCCCAGUGCCUGGGACACGGUGUUUUAUUUAGUCUGUUGAAGACAUGCUUAUGUAUGCUUCUAAAAGCCCUUAGGAAGAGUCUCAAAUGACAUUCUACAGUUUGAUAUUUUGUUCCAGUGUUGUCAGGUUCUUAAACUACACUGUAGGUAUAAAUUGUUUCACACACAAAAAAACCCAUAUGGGCCCAUUAAACA